rnacentral:rRNA from 1 species
UACGGAGGGUGCGAGCGUUAAUCGGAAUUACUGGGCGUAAAGCGUGCGUAGGCGGUUUGAUAAGUCGGGUGUGAAAGCCCCGGGCUUAACCUGGGAACUGCAUUUGAGACUGCUCUGCUCGGGUGCGGAAGAGGGAAGCGGAAUUUCCGGUGUAGCGGUGAAAUACGUAGAUAUCGGAAGGAACACCAGUGGCGAAAGCGGCUUCCUGGUCCGACACCGACGUUCAGGCACGAAAGCGUGGGGAGCAAACAGG